AUGGCGUCGCUUUAAAUAAAAUAGUGUCGCUUUUAAGCGACAUAAACUAUUAGUGUCGCUUCUAGGCGACACUAAUUCUUGUUUUUAAUAUUUUAAAUCUUGCGUCGGUUUUGAGCGACAUAUAUUUUGAAAACCAGUGUCGGUUGUAAGCGACACAUUGUUGCUCUUUAUACCCUCUCCCCCGUGUUUUCUUUUUCUUCUCUUGCACUUUUCUUAUUCGUUCUUCCAAUUUUUACAAAGUCUCCCGUGUUCCUCUUUCAGCUAUCUCCUUUGGUUUGCAAACUUCAUUUGUUCCUCUGUUCUCUCUUUCAGCUUUCUCCUUUGGUUUUCAAAAUUCAUUUGUUCCUCUUCACAACAGAAAGUUAUUGGAGUUGGUUGAGUACAUAAAGAAUUGUUGACGUCGAAAUUCUUCAACAAAUCAGGUGUUGAAAAUUAAAAGAUUGCAAUCGUGAUAGAGUUCGAGGGGUGAAAGAUAGAAAUUGAAAAUUUUGAUAGUUAUGCCUACAUGAUAGGGAUUGAAAGAUUGUAGGCAUCUUAGUGUCAACAUAAUAUUUUACCUUCGUAAAGUGGUAAAAUAUGGACAAGAGUUGGUUGACAAUACCCCGAAAUUUUGAAGCGUAUACAACUGGAAUUAAUUUGUUUUUGGAUCAAGCAGUUGCAAAUGGUGUUGGUCCUGAUAAGUUUAGAUGUCCUUGCAAAAGAUGUUGUAAUCGAUAUUCUUUUGUUAGGAACACCAUUGUUGAACAUCUCAUAUUGUAUGAUAUGGAUAAAGAUUAUAAAAACGCUUGUUGGCGACAUCAUGGCGAGCAAAACAUUGGAGAGCAAAAUGUGGGAAUUGGAGAAGAAGAAACAGGAGAUGAGGUGAUUGGCAUGCAUGAUUUUCUUAAUGAUGUAUUUGUCCAACCAUUAACAGAAGAAGGUGUUGGGCCAUCUACUGAACCCCCUAUUGGGGAAGGGCGUCCAGAAGAGGUGCAGACUUUUUUUAAGUUGCUUGAAGAGGCAGAUCAAGAUUUGUGGCCAGGUUGUAAGGAGUUUAAGAAAUUGGAAGCAGUUGUAAGAUUGUAUCAGAUCAAGUGUUUAGCGGGAAUGCCUGACGAGAUCUUCACCACUUUACUGGAGUUAAUUAAAAGAAUGUUGCCUGAAGGGGAUUGUUUGCCUGAAU